CCAACACGGACAAGCGCUGGGGUGCCCUGGUGGCUUAGUCAGCAUGGCACCUGCAGAGCAGCCCAGCACACAGGUGUGGCGGUGAAGAAUCCUGUCCCAGGACGUUGGCGAUGAGCUCGUCCCCAGCCUCAGGACAGUUGCGGGCACAUCCUGUAUAUUUCUUCUCAGUACCUGGUUGCUGAGAAGGAAAACUGUACAGGGUACAAUU
rnacentral:snoRNA from 1 species